rnacentral:snoRNA from 1 species
GUGCCUGUGGGAUGAACAGGUCCCAACAGUUACUUCCAUUUUUUCACUUUGUCAGCUAAUAGCCAUACAUUUUUAGCUGAUCAUUAAGAAUGGGAGACGC